rnacentral:ncRNA from 21 species
ACUUUUGCGCCGAAUUUUGGUUCUGCUAUGUAGCGUAGUAAGAUUAAAAGGGAAUUUGGUUAAAAUCCAAAACUGUUCCCGCAACUGUAAGCUUAGUUUACCAAGGGUAAAUGCUUUUUGUAACUACAGAUCCACUGUCUAAUAUUAAUGAUGGGAAGGAAAGCAAAAAGACGCAAGUCAGGAGACCUGCCAUAUUCAAAACAACUAAU